UCGCGCCGGGUGACAACCGGCCACAACGGGGACGAUGGACGCGGUCAUUUUGCCGGUUUCUGACCGCGACACCAACGCAUCGGUACGCGCUGACAUCUGACCUGUUCUCGAC
rnacentral:sRNA from 13 species